rnacentral:rRNA from 2 species
UACGGAGGGUGCAAGCGUUGUUCGGAAUUAUUGGGCGUAAAGGGCGCGUAGGUGGUUGUGAUAGUCAGAUGUGAAAUCCUUCGGCUCAACCGAAGAACUGCAUCUGAAACUUCAUAGCUCGAGUACAGGAGAGGGAAACGGAAUUCCCGGUGUAGAGGUGAAAUUCGUAGAUAUCGGGAGGAACACCAGUGGCGAAGGCGGUUUCCUGGCCUGAUACUGACGCUGAGGCGCGAAAGCGUGGGGAGCAAACAGGAUUAGAUACCCUGGUAGUCCACGCGGUAAACGGUGAACACUAGGUGUGGGAGGUGUAAUACCUUCUGUGCCGAAGCUAACGCGUUAAGUGUUCCGCCUGGGAAGUACGGCCGCAAGGUUGAA